rnacentral:rRNA from 1 species
GAUCAACGCUGGCGGCGCACAUAAGACAUGCAAGUUGAACGGACUUAAUCGAAAUAUUUAUCUUUUGAAGCGGUUAGUGGCGGACUGGUGAGUAACGCGUAAGGAACCUGCCUAUUAGAGGGGAAUAACAGUGAGAAAUCAUUGCUAAUACCGCAUAUGCCAUAGAUAUCACAUGAUAACAGUGGGAAAGGAGCAAUCCGCUAAUAGAUGGCCUUGCGUCUGAUUAGAUAGUUGGUGGGGUAACGGCCUACCAAGUCGACGAUCAGUAGCCGGACUGAGAGGUUGAACGGCCACAUUGGGACUGAGAUACGGCCCAGACUCCUACGGGAGGCAGCAGUCGGGAAUAUUGCGCAAUGGAGGAAACUCUGACGCAGUGACGCCGCGUAUAGGAAGAAGGUUUUCGGAUUGUAAACUAUUGUCGUUAGGGAAGAGAAAGGACAGUACCUAAGGAGGAAGCUCCGGCUAACUACG